rnacentral:rRNA from 1 species
GGGGACCUGCGGAAGGAUCAUUACAUUAGAACAUAGGCCCAAAGCUGUAGCAAUACUGCCCAAAGGCCUCUUCUAUUACCCUUGUUUUUUGAGUACCUAUGUUUCCUUGGUGGGCUUGCCUGCCAACAGGACAAACUAUUAAACCUUUUUUAAUUUUCAAUCAGCGUCUGAAUAAACUUUAAUAAUUACAACUUUCAACAACGGAUCUCUUGGUUCUGGCAUCGAUGAAGAACGCAGCGAAAUGCGAUAAGUAGUGUGAAUUGCAGAAUUCAGUGAAUCAUCGAAUCUUUGAACGCACAUUGCGCCCCUUGGUAUUCCAUGGGGCAUGCCUGUUCGAGCGUCAUUUGUACCCUCAAGCUCUGCUUGGUGUUGGGUGUUUUGUCCUCUCCAUUGCGUUUGGACUCGCCUUAAAGCAAUUGGCAGCCAGUGUAUUGGUUUUAAGCGCAGCACAUCUUGCGUCUUAUUCUUAUAACACUAGCGUCCAUCAAGCCUUUUUAUCACUUUUGACCUCGGAUCAGGUAGGGAUACCCGCUGAACUUAAGCAUAUCAAUAAGGCGGAGGAA